rnacentral:rRNA from 1 species
CAGGCUUAACACAUGCAAGUCGAGGGGCAGCGGGGAGGAAGCUUGCUUUCUCCGCCGGCGACCGGCGCACGGGUGAGUAACACGUAUGCAACCUGCCCCUGUCAGGGGGACAACCCGCCGAAAGGCGGGCUAAACCCGCGUACAUGCCACCGGGGCAUCCCGGAGGCAGGAAAGGCUUCGGCCGGACAGGGAUGGGCAUGCGGCGCAUUAGGCAGUAGGCGGGGUAACGGCCCACCUAACCGACGAUGUGUAGGGGUUCUGAGAGGAAGGUCCCCCACACUGGUACUGAGACACGGACCAGACUCCUACGGGAGGCAGCAGUGAGGAAUAUUGGUCAAUGGUCGGGAGACUGAACCAGCCAAGCCGCGUGAGGGAGGAAGGUACAGAGUAUCGUAAACCUCUUUUGUCAGGGAACAAAGACUGGGACGCGUCCCCGGAUGAGUGUACCUGAAGAAAAAGCAUCGGCUAACUCCGUGCCAGCAGCCGCGGUAAUACGGAGGAUGCGAGCGUUAUCCGGAUUUAUUGGGUUUAAAGGGUGCGCAGGCGGUCUGUUAAGUCAGCGGUCAAAGCCCGGGGCUCAACCCCGGCCCGCCGUUGAAACUGGCAGUCUCGAGUUGGAGAGAAGUAUGCGGAAUGCGCGGUGUAGCGGUGAAAUGCAUAGAUAUCGCGCAGAACUCCGAUUGCGAAGGCCGCAUGCCGGCUCCACACUGACGCUGAAGCACGAAAGCGUGGGUAUCGAACAGGAUUAGAUACCCUGGUAGUCCACGCAGUAAACGAUGAAUGCGGGCUGUCCGGGGGGACCUGACCCCUGGGUGGCGAAGCGAAAGCGAUAAGCAUUCCACCUGGGGAGUACGCCGGCAACGGUGAAACUCAAAGGAAUUGACGGGGGCCCGCACAAGCGGAGGAACAUGUGGUUUAAUUCGAUGAUACGCGAGGAACCUUACCCGGGCUCAAACGGGGAGUGCCGCAGGCAGAGACGCCUGUUUCCCACGGGACACUCCCCGAGGUGCUGCAUGGUUGUCGUCAGCUCGUGCCGUGAGGUGUCGGCUUAAGUGCCAUAACGAGCGCAACCCCCGCGUGCAGUUGCUAACAGAUAACGCUGAGGACUCUGCACGGACUGCCGGCGCAAGCCGCGAGGAAGGCGGGGAUGACGUCAAAUCAGCACGGCCCUUACGUCCGGGGCGACACACGUGUUACAAUGGGUGGUACAGCGGGAAGCCAGGCGGCGACGCCGAGCGGAACCCGAAAUCCACUCUCAGUUCGGAUCGGAGUCUGCAACCCGACUCCGUGAAGCUGGAUUCGCUAGUAAUCGCGCAUCAGCCAUGGCGCGGUGAAUACGUUCCCGGGC